AAUGAACGCUGGCGGCAGGCUUAACACAUGCAAGUCGAACGCACCGCAAGGUGAGUGGCAGACGGGUGAGGAACACGUGGGAACAUCCCCUUCAGUUCGGAAUAACUCAGGGAAACUUGAGCUAAUACCGGAUACGUCCGUGAGGAGAAAGAUUUAUCGCUGAAGGAAUGGCCCGCGUCUGAUUAGCUAGUUGGUGAGGUAACGGCUCACCAAGGCUACGAUCAGUAGCUGAUCUGAGAGGAUGAUCAGCCACAUUGGGACUGAGACACGGACCAAACUCCUACGGGAGGCAGCAGUGGGGAAUAUUGGACAAUGGGCGCAAGCCUGAUCCAGCCAUGCCGCGGGAGUGAUGAAGGCCUUCGGGUUGUAAAGCUCUUUUGUCCGGGAAGAUAAUGACUGUACCGGAAGAAUAAGCCCCGGCAAACUUCGUGCCAGCCGCCGCUGUAA
rnacentral:rRNA from 1 species